GUCAGGAUGGCCGAGUGGUCUAAGGCGCCAGACUCAAGGCUCUGCCUUCCUCCCUCUCCUGGGUAUUCUGGUCUCCGAAUGGAGGCGUGGGUUCAAAUCCCACUUCUGACA
rfam:Struthio camelus australis contig16882, whole genome shotgun sequence.